AUGAACGCUGGCGGCGUGCCUAAUCCAUGCCAGUCGAGCGAACAGACGAGGAGCUUGCUCCUCUGACGUUAGCGGCGGACGGGUGAGUAACACGUGGAUAACCUACCUAUAAGACUGGGAUAACUUCGGGAAACCGGAGCUAAUACCGGAUAAUGUAUUGAACCGCAUGGUUCAAUAGUGAAAGACGGUUUUGCUGUCACUUAUAGAUGGAUCCGCGCCGCAUUAGCUAGUUGGUAAGGUAACGGCUUACCAAGGCAACGAUGCGUAGCCGACCUGAGAGGGUGAUCGGCCACACUGGAACUGAGACACGGUCCAGACUCCUACGGGAGGCAGCAGUAGGGAAUCUUCCGCAAUGGGCGAAAGCUUGACGGAGCAACGCCGCGUGAGUGAUGAAGGUCUUCGGAUCGUAAAACUCUGUUAUUAGGGAAGAACAAAUGUGUAAGUAACUAUGCACGUCUUGACGGUACCUAAUCAGAAAGCCACGGCUAACUACGUG
rnacentral:rRNA from 1 species